rnacentral:rRNA from 1 species
CCUACGGGAGGCGGCAGUGGGGAAUUUUGGACAAUGGGCGCAAGCCUGAUCCAGCAAUGCCGCGUGAGUGAAGAAGGCCUUCGGGUUGUAAAGCUCUUUUGUCAGGGAAGAAACGGUGGUUCCUAAUACGGACUACUAAUGACGGUACCUGAAGAAUAGGCACCGGCUAACUACGUGCCAGCAGCCGCGGUAAUACGUAGGGUGCAAGCGUUAAUCGGAAUUACUGGGCGUAAAGCGUGCGCAGGCGGUUAUAUAAGUCAGAUGUGAAAUCCCCGGGCUCAACCUGGGAACUGCAUUUGAGACUGUAUGGCUAGAGUGUGUCAGAGGGGGGUAGAAUUCCACGUGUAGCAGUGAAAUGCGUAGAUAUGUGGAGGAAUACCGAUGGCGAAGGCAGCCCCCUGGGAUAACACUGACGCUCAUGCACGAAAGCGUGGGGAGCAAACAGGAUUAGAUACCCUGGUAGUCCACGCCCUAAACGAAGUCUACUAGUUGUCGGGACUUAAUUGUCUUGGUAACGCAGCUAACGCGUGAAGUAGACCGCCUGGGGGUACGUCGCAAGNUUAAAACUUAAUGAAUUGAGG